CUAGUCUGAAAAUCUGAGAUACCAGCAAUAUGGAAUGAAGGAUAUGGAUCAACAAAGAAGCACACAUGAGUUCUUGCACCAACAUAUGACAAGGUUAGAUGAAAUAGAAUUUUAAACACAUUUAAAAGUGGACUAAUUUACCUUAUAGGUUUUCUGGAUUUCUAAUGCCUUUGAAAUAUGCCUCGAAGAGAUAAUUUUAUAUAUAAAAAAUUACAUCAAAAGUUCGAUGGGUUUUAAGUGGGUUCACAACAUUGAAUUGAUUAAUCAAUACAGCACAACCCUAUGGAUGGCCCCAUCUGCACUAUGCAUUUAAAGCAGUAUCGUACUGCUUUGAACAGCCAUGGGAAUUCUGGUAACUGUAGUUUGUUAAGGGUACUGAGAGUUUUUAGGAGACCUCUGUUCCUCUCAUAAGGCUACAAUUCUCAGAGUGGUUUAACAGCCACUCAUUUCCCCAAGAGAGACUGGGAACUGCAGUACUUCUAAGAAGCUGCAGGGGGCAGUAAAAAGAGUAAUUCCCUUCCCUCUUACAAAGAAAGAAAAAUGUGUCUUCAAAGAUGAUGUCCUCAUCUUUAUUUUCUUUUUAAAAAUAAUAAUAAUAAAAAGCAUGCUUUUUGCUACAGAAACUUUUUGGGACAGCUUUUACGCCGUGCUUCAAAACAUGUUUAUAGCAUUCACACAUGACACUUUAGGUUUACACCUUAAAAAGCAUAGUAUAAUUUUUUAAUAUAUAAAUUUUAUAUUUUAUUUGGCAAAAUAUUUGAACUUUAUGAUAUGUAUUGGUAUAAUUUGGAAUAAUUAAUGUGAUAUGAUUGGAUUGUUAAAUGGAAAACUUAAUAAAAAUUAUUAUUAAUAAAAUAAAAUAAAAUAAAAAGCAUAGUAUAAAUUAUGUAAUUUUUUCUGGAUUUUUUUUAAAUUGGCUGAGUUGUUUUUAAAAUUUGCAUUGUUAUUAUUUUAUUUUAUUUUACUUAAAAUACUGCAUUUGCUUUAUUUGUGGUUUUAUUAUUUCAUCGCUGGAAGUCUGUAAUCCACUUUGGAAAACGAAGCUACCUAACGUAUCAUUGAAUAAACAAAGUACUGUUGAACGGAUAUUUUUGAGGACGUUGCUGGACUCCCGUUCCCAUCAGCCCCCAGCCAGCAUAGUAAAUGGUCAGGGAUGGAGGGAGGUGUAUUCUGGGGUGGGAGCUGCAGGUUUUACUUCCCUGCAUCCGAGCCUUCUGGUUCCGGUGACAGAACUCCCAUUCACCCUUAAAUCCUGAGACCCUCAUUAUGUCAGGAGGAAAGAGAGAACCUCUUUUCACCAUAUUCAUUUCCCCCUACCAGUCAUUCCAGCCCCCAGCCCCAAUCAGAGUCAGAAUUUAACGAGGGGGGAAAAUAUGUAAUUGCAUGGUCCCUGGCAGAUUUUGCCAAGGCAGCUACCAGAGACUCUCCUUAUAUGAGAGCGCCAGGGGAGUCCCUAAUCCCCCCUUAGAAACUCAAAAGAACUUGAAAGCAUCUUGUCAUUACGCUGCCUCCUCUAUUCAUCUCGCAUUCUUUGCCCCGGUAACAUCUGGCUCCAGGUUCUCAGGCGUGAGGAGAAGAGGGAGUUCAGUGUCAGUUCAGCGACGGUGAAGCCACGCUCCUCGAAAGGCAAGAGAAAACACGCCAUCACCAUCAAUCAGCAUUAACUGGCAUACUAACCAGAGGGGCAAGACACCCUCCCCGCUGCCCAUAAAAGGCUGAUGGAAUGUGGGAAGAUAUUACAAAGCACCUCCCAUGUCGUAAUGGCUGGAACUGCUGAACCUAGUGAUGGGAUCUCCAGGUGUAACUGUGCCCUCAUCAGGGAGUGAUUUAAAUCACCAUGGAAUGAGGCUGAUUUAAGGCCCGGCCAGACAUGAUGGAAACAGAUCCCUGUGUUCACAGCAUCCAGGAAGUGGGUGGGGACUAUUUUAGAAUAGUACACAAGGAGGACUGCAAAAUCUUCUCGGCUCACCUCUCCACAGUCUGUCCUCCUGACAAGAUACUCCUCAAUGAAGAUCCAAGUACAGUCAUACCCCAGGUUACAGACGCUUCAGGUUGUGCAUUUUUGGGUUAAGGACGCGCCGAAACCCGGAAGUACCAGAACGGGUUCCUUCCAGGUUUCGGCAUUCGCACAUGCGCAGAAGCGCUAAAUCACGCUUUGCGCAUGUGCAGAAGUGCAGACUCAUGAUCUGCGCAUGCGCAGACGCGGUGCUGGGGGUUGCGAACACUGUGGGUUGUGAACGUGCCUCCGGCAUGGAUCACGUUCACAACCCAAGCGUCCACUGUAUUGGGAUUUCUAGACAGCUAGAAGGAAAGCAAUUGGUAAAAAGCGGUGCGGGGGGGGGCACGGAGUGUUCCGCCCUUCUCACUCCCCAGCUCAUUUUUUUUAUUUUUAUUAAUAUAUAAUUAUUUAUACCCCAUCUUCUUCACUGACAGGGACUCAAGGUGGCUUACAGAGAAAAUAAGAACAGCUAAAAACAUGGGCCCCCCCAAUUAUAAAAAAUAAAUAAAUGUAUCAACAACAGUGAUCAAAUUAAAAUCACAGGAGAAAUCAGGCAGAGGAUAAAGGGGGCUGCAAAAAAGAAAACAUCCAGGAUAAAUUGUUUCUAUAAUAACUUUCCAGGAAGUACUUAUAGGUCAAAUUAGGCCCACGAAUGUUAAAUAUCACCCAGCUUUUAAAAAAUAUUAUCAUCAUUGCCAUCACAUAAUCUAUGUGGCCACCAGUUGCCACGCCACUUCUUAAUGGAAGCCUGCUAUCAUCUUGCUUACUACAAUUAAUGCCAGAUUGGCAUGGAUGAAGCUUUUUUCCUCUAGAAAACACCAAGAAUAGGGGGAAAAUGAAAUUCAGGGAGUCCCACCAGUCCUUUCUGAGAAACUUCGUAGAAUCUCCCCUAACCUGGAAGUUUACAUUGAUUGGUACUUAUGUCAUUCCCCCAUAUCAAGGGCCCCAUUACCUCCAGCAGCUUAGGGCCUCAUCAAACCUAAAUCCAGCCCUGGUCAGGCCCCUUGCGUAUGAGCGACUCCUCUCUCAGACACAGUUUGAAAUGCUUUGGCACUGCCACGCAUGCCUGCUUGCUUGCCUCCAGAUGGCUACCUUUGACUCUGAGGCCAUUCAACAGCGGCUACUUCAGAACCCACAUUAGGAGAACCUUGGUGGUUCAGUGUUAACCCAAACUAGUGGAAUUUACUUGAAAUACAAUAUGUUCUCUCUCGUCUUCCUCCUCCUCAUUUAUUACAAGGGAGAUGUUUGGCAGAGUCGAGAUCUGGAAAUUUGCCAUUAAGCUGCAAUGGGCUUAGCAAGUUAAUGUUGAUGGGUUUUGAGCAUUAACUCACCAAAGGAGAAUGCCGGCACAUUUGUAGAAUUAUCAGUAUAAUGGAUCCUGGCAUUUCACUCUUACCAUCUUUACAAAUGUCACUUUUCAUUCUAUUGUAAAUUAAACCAAUUUCGUCCAAACCUCCAAAAUAAAGCUUCCUUGCAAGCAACCAGUUCCCAUCUGCUCCACAGUUAAAAAUAUUGCAGCAAGAAAUUGCAGAAGAUAUUAGAGAAAAUGCACCAUUACAGAUACUAUAUGAAGGGUGUAUGAAUUAACCAUUAAGGAUUAAUUUAUACUCUCUUUCUUCAUGGGUAGGGGUUAAAGAGUGCAAGAAAUGAAGGACACCAUGAUCAAAUUAAAGCAAGGUAGAUCUCCACACCUGAAUGAGCUAAUGAAAUAUUAUAAAGGCAAAGAACUGGGAAGGUGAAAACCCCAUUAGACCCAAGAGAUCUCUGACAGUUUACAUCACCUGAAAGUCUCCCUCCGAUAUAUUCCCAAUUAUUACAGGUAGAUUUUAUCCACUUAACAGGUUAAGUUUGCAAACCCCCUCCAUCAUUUAUUCACUCAGGAAUGUAACCUUGUCUCUGCAGCAGCAGCGAGGAAAAAAAUGUGUAUGUUCGGUCUCAUUUACGCUUUUAACCAAUUUAUGCCAGCAUCAUGUAUUUAAAUUAGCUUCAGUGUGCUUUCAUAUAUUAUAACCAUAUUUCAAAGCAAUUUGUGCAAAUGCCAACAGAGGAGGCAAGCUAUAUGUAUCAUGUGUUUGGAGAUUAUAAAGGCUCCAGAUGCCUUUGUAAAGCAAACCUUUCAUGAAUAAAUCAGGAAACAUCCUGAUGCAGGCUUUAUAUAUAGAGCAAGGUAUUCUUAUUUAGGUCACAGCGAGGUUCUGCCAGGUUUGCUAAAAUGGAACAAAUCCCCAGCGUGUAUGCCAAAUGCACAACAUUUCAUAAGACAAGCAAACAUCCCUUGGUUUGAGCCCUUAUUGUGUGCUUGCAACUGUAAAUGACCUCUGUACCUUAAGUAUAUUGGUUUGAUCACCUGAAACUCAAAUCAAAGCUUUCCGACUCUGUACUCAGUAAGUCUCUCCCCCCCAUCUCAUUCGACCCCAUCCACGGUGACAAUGGAUGGUGACAAUGCCCUCAUUUAAUACCCACAUAUACUGCAGCAUAGUAGCAAAACGUGGUAGCUCAGAGACUGAGCUUCCAGUCACGAAUUACCUGGUUCAAAACUUGCCUAGGCUAUGUACUCGUAUAUAAGGAUAAUAAUGCCAUCUGAAAGGGUCCUUGCAGGGAUUACAGCGGGUCAGUUCAGAUGCUACUCUGUUUUUUUUGUCAAUUAUAUUUUAUUAAGUUUCAACAUUUUAACAUAUGCAAUCAAAACACAAUUUCAUCUUUUCUCUUAUUUUUGUCUACUUCCCACCUCUUUUCCUAUGGAGUUGUUUCUCUCCUCCUGCUGCUCCCUGCCUUCUAUCUAUCAAAUCAUAACCACAAUAUUAAAAUCUAACUAUUUCUGUUGUUCAUAACUGAAAGCCUGCUUGCGAGUUCAUCGCACUAUAAUAUUUCUUUAAAUAGUCUGAAAAAGGCAUCCAUUCUUCCAUAAAACACUCAUCAUUAGCUUCUCUUAAUUUUGCCAGCUAUUUCUACUGUUAUAUAUAUAUAUAUAUAUAUAUACUCAUUUUAACCAUCUUUUUAUCUCAACAUGUAUCAUUUCCCAAAAUGCCCUCGCUUUCUUGCAAGCCCACCACAUAUGAGAAAAAGAUCCACCUACCUGUUUACUAAGCCAGAUGUUACUCUAAAUGUGCAGCUACCAACAAAAAUGGCAACUGCAUAUUCUGUUCCCUUCCAUAACAUCUGGAAGAACUUACCCAUGCUCUGACCUCAAGAUGUCCUGCAUGUUGUUAUCCCUGCUUGUUGUUAUCCCUGCUAAGUAUCAAGAUGCAGAUAAGUUCUACUAGAUGUUACAUGCAGCAGCCAUGCAUUUAGCAAAGGAUCUGGCUUGGUUUUGAGACAACGUUCACGAAGCCAUUUAGAACAUCCAGUUACGUGCUGUGCAAAUGCUGCUAAUAAUACUUUCAACAACAACAAUAAUCAUUAGCAAAAAUAACAGCAACACUGGCAAACCUCAAAGAGUUGUUGUAAAGAUUAUUUAGACCAGCAUUUCCCAAACACGGGUCCCCAUAUGUUGUUGUUGGACUACAACUCCCAUCAUCCCUGACCACUGGUCCUGCUAGCAAGGGAUGAUGGGAGUUGCAUUCCAGCAACAGUUGGAGACCCAAGUUUGGGAAACACUGAUUUAGACAGAGCAUGUGAAAUAACUUAGUACAGUAUCAUCUGUUCUGCCUAAUGGAUUCCUGGGACCCAGGAAAACUAGACCUUGAUUUCAUGCAAAGUGCUGAAAAAUAAAACUAGAACAGAGAAGAUUACUCGUGGAAUUUCCUAUCCAGCCAUCACACUCCUUCCCCCUAGGUUGAUGGCUUGUAUAGAGAUCAUUUAAUCAGUUUAUACAUGAUGGGGUGAGGGUAAAGUAACCUACUGCUCAUGACACAUUUGCUAAUCUUAUGUCUCUUCCUGAACUGGAAACAUCUAUUAUACAGGCUCUCAAAGAAUUAGGAUGUAAGGAUUUCCAGAUUGUUGCAGCCAGCUUGAAAUGAUAAAAAGUUAUCCAAAGUGGAGGAAUGUAGAAUGUUUCUUUUUUCUUUUUUUUUAAAGGCCUGGGAGCAAUCUCUCCUCCUUUUUGAGUUGCAAUUUAUAUGUGUGUGUGUGUGUUUUGUUUUAAUACAACUCUGCGCAACAUUGACAAAAGAGUUCGUGGCAAGUUCAUUCCAUCUAAUGAAUCGAUAAAAUCUAAAUGUAAAUGGCACGCGAUACAAGGCUCAUCUGACAAUUCUUUGGAAAAAUGCAUUUUAAUCCACACCAAUCUCUGCUACAACCAUUUGUAACUGAAUGUUCGUACUGAUCAUAGGAUGGUCCUGCUAUGCUUUUUAAUUUCCUCUGUUAUUUUGUGUGUCCACAAAUCUAGCCAAGGGUAUCCCACUCAGGUUGGGAGUCCACAAUGCACUGGUGAAGUGGGAAUUCCUGCAGGAUAAGAAUUCUGCUAAGCCUCAGGAAGACCUGCUGGAGUCUAUGUUGUGGUUCUCUUCACAUCAUCAAUAACCAUCCCACCCAUCUCCUUGAAGGCUGACACUGAGCUGGGGAGAAAACUGCUACGUGGACUGCCAUGUCCACUGCAGAAGCACGAGGAGCACCUAGCUUCGGAGUUGCAUCUAAAAGCUUUGCUCGCUUAUUCUGAAAAUAAUUUGACAAGAACAAAGGACUGCUCUUCAGACAUCGCCUUUGGAAACAGGUUAUAAAACUUCCUGGCAGGGAAGAUCGCUGCUUCAAGAUGAUGCUGACACUGAUCCAGACUAUUGAGACCAGG